ACUCAAAGGAAUUGACGGGGGCCCGCACAAGCGGUGGAACAUGUGGUUUAAUUCGAAGCUACGCGAAAAACCUCACCAGGGCUUGACAUACAGGAAGUAGUGAAAUGAAAGUGGAACGACCCGUUAAGUCGGGAGCCUGAACAGGUGCUGCAUGGCUGUCGUCAGCUCGUGUCGUGAGAUGUUGGGUUAAGUCCCGCAACGAGCGCAACCAUUAUCCUUUGUUGCAACUUUGGUCCAGCUUGCUGGGCCAGAAGCACUCUAAGGAGACUGCCUGGGAUAACCAGGAGGAAGGUGGAGAUGACGUCAAGUCAGUACGGCCUUUAUGCCCUGGGCGACACACGUGUUACAAUGGGUGGGACAAAGGGUUGCCAACCCGCGAGGGGGAGCUAAUCUCAAAAACCCACCCCCAGUUCAGAUCGCAGUCUGCAAUUCGACUGCGUGAAGCCGGAAUCGCUAGUAAUGGGAGAUCAGCACGCUCCCGUGAAUACGUUCCCGGGCCUUGUACACACCGCCCGU
rnacentral:rRNA from 1 species